rnacentral:rRNA from 1 species
AUAGCUCAUUACAACAGCCACCGUUUACUAGAAUAUAGUUAUCCUACUUGGAUAACUGUGGCAAUUCUAGAGCUAAUACAUGCAAAAGAGCUCCGCCCGCAAGGAACGAGCGCAUUUAUUAGAAUAAAAACCAAUCGGGUCUCGGCCCGUAAUUUGGUGAAUCUGAAUAACUUUGCCAAUCGCACAGUCCUAGUACUGGCGAUGUAUCUUUCAAGUGUCUGCCUUAUCAACUUUCGAUGGUAGGUUAUACGCCUACCAUGGUAGUAACGGGUAACGGAGAAUAAGGGUUCGACUCCGGAGAGGGAGCCUGAGAAACGGCUACCACAUCCAAGGAAGGCAGCAGGCGCGCAAAUUACCCACUUCCAGAACGGAGAGGUAGUGACGAAAAAUAACGAGACAGUCCUCUUCGAGGUCUGUCAUCGGAAUGGGUACAAUUUAAAUCCUUUAACGAGGAUCUAUUGGAGGGCAAGUCUGGUGCCAGCAGCCGCGGUAAUUCCAGCUCCAAUAGCGUAUAUUAAAGUUGUUGCGGUUAAAACGCUCGUAGUUGGAUUUGCGGCCUCGGAGAACGGUCCCCCGAAAGGGUGGUCACUGUCUCUCCUAGCCUAAAUUCGAGUCGUCUCUAGGUGCUCUUUAUUGGGUGCUUAGAGUGACUAGAACUUUUACUUUGAAAAAAUUAGAGUGCUUAAAGCAGGCGAAAUAGCCUGAAUAAAGUGCAUGGAAUAAUGGAAUAUGACCUCUCGUGUCUAUUUUGUUGGGGUCUGGAACACGAAGUAAUGAUUAAGAGGACAGGACGGGGGCGUUUCUUAUUCGGUGGCUUGAGAUGAGAGAUCUCUGGACCGCCGGCAUGACGGAAUACGGAUGACUG